UACGUAGGGUGCAAGCGUUAAUCGGAAUUACUGGGCGUAAAGCGUGCGCAGGCGGUUGUGUAAGUCUGUCGUGAAAUCCCCGGGCUCAACCUGGGAAUUGCGAUGGAGACUGCACGGCUAGAGUGUGUCAGAGGGGGGUAGAAUUCCACGUGUAGCAGUGAAAUGCGUAGAUAUGUGGAGGAACACCCGAUGGCGAAGGGCAGCCCCCUGGGAUAACACUGACGCUCAUGCACGAAAGCGUGGGGAGCAAACAGG
rnacentral:rRNA from 1 species